AACGAGGCUUACAGGAGUCUUCCAGCUGAAUUCUAAGCAUGUUUAGGUGAAAACAGACCCUACUUAAAAAUCAGUUGGACUUAAUUCCAAGUAUGUGUGCUUACAACCACAGCUUUAGAAUUAUUUUAUAGUGAAACUGUUGAAAUGUGCCAAUACCAAAGCUCACAACCUUUCAUUUCUAUUGAAUAGGUAAACUGUGUGAAUAUCUCUGAAGCAGGAUACCUGCCAGCAAGCUACAUCUAAAUUGGUAUCAACCAGAACCAGACAGAUGCCAUGUUUUAUUAACCUUCUCAUUGUGGAAUACAGUGUAAACCAAAGAAGACACUAAUAUUUGGAUUUAUAAGUUGUAAGAAUUUCUCCAAAUGGAAGCCGGUGAAAAUUGAAUGGCUUGGUCACCUCUGUGAUUCAGAAUAAGGGUUUGUCCCAGAUACCAUUCCAUUAUCACAGGAGAGCCGUGGUUGCUGGUAAACAUCUCGCAGGUAGAACUCGUGUCAGUGCAGUGAAUGAUGAUUUAUCUUUGAGAGAGUCAGUAAUUAAAGGAUUUACUUGUGGGACUGUGAGUUCCUUCCUGUUGCAGGACAGAUAUCUCAGGUAAGUGAGUUAUGGGAUUCUGUGUAAUACCGCAAGCUUUCUUUUAGCAGACCUACAGUUAAAAACAGGGAUAUUACCUAGAUGUUUUCAGAUUGGAAUAGAAACCCACUGUGAUACUGUAGGGACACCCUUUAAUUAAAAGACAAACUACCGACUUCUGUCUUCCUGUUUGGUAUUCUUGAGGGUUUCCAUAAGCAGCAGUAAAGAGGUUACUAUGAAUCAGAGAAUUACAGAUUUGUAGAGUUGGGAGGGAGUCCCGAAGGUCCACACUCGAAGCAAAUUUCAUACACUUUCUAUCUAGUAACAGCCAACACUGGAUUUCCCCCCCCCCCCAUGAGUUCUUGUGGACAGUGCGUUCUGUUUGACAACUAGCUCUUUCUUAAAGAAGCUUUACGUUAAGCCUUAAAUCAAGAGUAGAAAGUGUGGAGUCCAGUCUAAUUUGCUCAUUUUCCUAGAUAUUGUCCUCCUUUUAAAAUGGGUCUAUUGACAUAGAAAGCCUCCUCUGUAUUAUUUAUUUUCUUACACUUAUAUGCCAGCUUUUUCUAUCUUGGAAAGGAAGUCAGAAACAGUUUAACUUUUGAAAAUGUGUGUUUUUUUUAAAUCUUCUUUGCAGAAAGGUUGUUUGUCCUUUUGAGGCACCACUGCAGAACCAAAACAGGACUUUCCCCCUCUUUUCGUGUAGCGAGACUUGCGUUUUUUCAGUCAUCCAGACUAUAAUUCUCUAAGUCAAGCUGAUCUGCAUAUGGCUUCUGUUAUUGGCUGUGUUUAAUUGCUGUACUUAGUUUUUAGUUCCCUAUGUCCGUCCCCCCCCCUUAAAACCCACAUGAUGCUGAUUCCCAUGAGUCUGUGAAGAUUCUGAAUUGGCAUCAUAUGCGGCAGUCUGAUGAAGUGAUAAGUAUUUCACACUCUGGUUCUUCAUCUUUUAUGGUGUGCAAGUUAAAGAUCCCUUUCAUACUCAAGUAAAUGAAUAAAAAGAACCCCUUUUCACAUCUGGAAGACCUUGUGUAUCUUUGGCCAAUGAGACUAUAUGACAUCA
ensembl:lncRNA